GACGAACGCUGGCGGCGUGCUUAACACAUGCAAGUCGAACGGAAAGGCCUGCUUUCCCUUGUGGAUUGCGGGUGCUCGAGUGGCGAACGGGUGAGUAACACGUGAGUGAUCUGCCCCCAACUUGGGUAUAAGCCUGGGAAACUGGGUCUAAUUCCCGAUAGGACUGCAGGGUGGUGCCUGUGGUGGAAAACGAUUUUCUAGUGGUUGGGGAUGAGCUCGCGGCCUAUCAGCUUGUUGGUGGGGUAAUGGCCUACCAAGGCGGCGACGGGUAGCCGGCCUGAGAGGGUGGACGGCCACAUUGGGACUGAGAUACGGCCCAGACUCCUACGGGAGGCAGCAGUGGGGAAUAUUGCACAAUGGGCGGAAGCCUGAUGCAGCGACGCCGCGUGGGGGAUGACGGCCUUCGGGUUGUAAACUCCUUUCGACCGCGAGGAAGCCACCUGGUUGGAAGGGUGGUGACGGUAGUGGUAGAGGAAGCACCGGCUAACUACGUG
rnacentral:rRNA from 1 species